GGUGGCCCGUUAAAUCAGCAUCCCCAUCCAGAAGGAGCCGCAUAUGGAGGAUGGAGGAUGGAGUAUGGCGCACUCAAGCGACGGACAGCAGUAGCCGUUUCGGCCCCUGAUAACGAUGGAUGAUGACUGGGACAUGGACUGGGUCUAAAUGGAACACUGUCCCGGGGCUCUGACCGGGGCGAAGCGACGCGACCACCGAUCGGAGGAUCAGCAUCUGGCUUGACGGCUUCUAAUGCCUCUUUCAAAUGUGCCGCACUUCCUACGGGCUAUGCUCUGCUCCGCUCCGCUCUGCUCUUCUCCUGCUCCUUCACUAUUAAUUAGAAUGUAUGGCCGUUGCCUCUGUGCCCCAGCCCCUGCUCCUGCCUCCUUCCCCGCUCCCCUAUACUUUUUGGCAUUUCAGAGUUAACGGCACGCGACAUUUUAAAUAUGUAUGAUGCCCUCCAUCCAUCGCGCUGGGCUCCUGUUUGGGGUUCUCGGACUGCCUGACACUCGCCUCGUUUGCACCAGCGCAGAGGACUACGACUACCCUGAAGCAGCUGUUGAAAUUGAUGCCUGCCCUGGCGUUCGGCAUUUGUGUCGAAUAUGCAGCACGGACGAGUACUCCUGGGCUUGUUAAGAUAAUGAACACUAUAGCUGGACUGCCCCCGAAUCUGGGAUACCCUAGCCAUCGCUUGUCAAAACUAAUGGAUGCCCAGAAUACGAUGAAACGGAAUA
rnacentral:sRNA from 1 species